CUUGGUCAUUUAGAGGAAGUAAAAGUCGUAACAAGGUCUCCGUUGGUGAACCAGCGGAGGGAUCAUUACCGAGUUUACAACUCCCAAACCCAAUGUGAACCAUACCAAACUGUUGCCUCGGCGGGGUCACGCCCCGGGUGCGUCGCUGCCCCGGAACCAGGCGCCCGCCGGAGGGACCAACCAAACUCUUUCUGUAGUCCCCUCGCGGACGUUAUUUCUUACAGCUCUGAGCAAAAAUUCAAAAUGAAUCAAAACUUUCAACAACGGAUCUCUUGGUUCUGGCAUCGAUGAAGAACGCAGCGAAAUGCGAUAAGUAAUGUGAAUUGCAGAAUUCAGUGAAUCAUCGAAUCUUUGAACGCACAUUGCGCCCGCCAGUAUUCUGGCGGGCAUGCCUGUCCGAGCGUCAUUUCAACCCUCGAACCCCUCCGGGGGGUCGGCGUUGGGGAUCGGGAACCCCUAAGACGGGAUCCCGGCCCCGAAAUACAGUGGCGGUCUCGCCGCAGCCUCUCCUGCGCAGUAGUUUGCACAACUCGCACCGGGAGCGCGGCGCGUCCACGUCCGUAAAACACCCAACUUUCUGAAAUGUUGACCUCGGAUCAGGUAGGAAUACCCGCUGAACUUAAGCAUAUCAAUAAGCGGAGGA
rnacentral:rRNA from 1 species